ensembl:lncRNA
CAGCGCUGCUGCGCCGUCGUCCGUCUUCGCUCCGUUGUUUUGAACGUACGUUCCGCGGUGCAUCAUGGGAUACAAAAUGUCUCCUAAGAGUGCUGGCUAAUGCUAAUUUACGAGAGAAAAUCGCGAAUAAAUAUAUAUAUUACUGUUCUUUCAGCUGUUAACGUGUUAGUGUACAUAUGUGAUAAAUUAACGGUGUUCUGCUGUCGCCAUGUCAACGAAAGCGGAGUCGAGGGUGUCCAGCUCCAGCUCCAGCUCCAGAACAGAUGAGCGGAAGAGAUCGCGGAGCACAGGACGAGAAAAAACGAAGCGGAAACGCAGUCGAAGUAGGUCUUCCUCGUCGUCCUCUUCUAGGUCGUCUUCAUCGUCAUCGUCAUCCUCCUCCUCCUCUUCUUCUUCUUCGGGCUCAUCCAACUCAUCGAGCCACAGCCGGAGUAGCUCGAGCAGUAGCGACUCUGACAGUAAAUCCAGAAAGCAGUCUAAGAAAAGGAAAAAGGAGAAACCACACAAAAAAGUAAUUUUGAGCAUUUUUAUCUCAUGAAUUUAUAAUUAACAGCAAGUUUCAGUGAAAGUGACUGAAUUGUUUAAUAAUGGAACAUAAUGUAAAACUAAGUCCAACUUAUUUUGUGACUUGCAGCAGAAAGGGAAGAAAGAAAAACGACACAAACGUAAAAAAGACAAGAAAGCAAAAGGAGUAGAGGAAAACACGGGACCUGUACAAAUCUCCAAGGUAACUGCCCAUCCAGGUCCCACUAGACAAACAAAUCAUUUUCUCACUGUGUGACCACAAAACAAUGUUAAAACAAAUGCAUUCGACACAUUAUUCUAGACAGUUUCUACAUUACAUUGUCACAAUUUUUUAUUGAGUUCCAUUCAUUGAAUUCCACUGAUCUCUAAAAUCAAGUCCACCUCGAUAAGUUAAACCCAAACAUGCUCCAAAAUGCAUCAAACCACACAAGUUUUUUUUAGUUUUUUUUAUCUCAAAGCAAUUUAAUGGAAUCCCAAUAGUUGUCGAUGUUGACCAUUGUAGAACAUGUUUGAAAGUUUUUGCCAGCCCCCAACAUGUGCUAGUAUGAUAUGCACAUACCUAGUCACAUUUGUAAUCACAGGCUUUGUAAUUUUGUCAACCAACUUUAUAUAUAUUUAGAUUUAUUGAAAUCUAGCCCUGUAAACUUACAUCUGUUUUCUUUCAGUACUUGAACGACAAGAAAAAGGGCAAGUACAGCAUGAUUUCAGGGAAGAAGAUAAAGAUGAAAGUAAAGAAGUCAAAGAAAGACAAACAGGUAAUCUCACGUGUUUGCUGUCAUCUAGGCAACCAUGUGUAUGGAUACAGUGUGAGGAUGGAUUGUUAUUUGCUUAUUUUCUUUGUUACAGCGCGAUAAAAAUCGAGCAGAACUUCUUGAGUUCCUGAACUCCACCCUGUGAUGCCACUGUGGAAGGCAGUAAUAGUGCUCAGACACGUCGGCAGAACUCAGGAAACAACAAUUUGGCUUUCCAGGAGAACAACAAUGAAGAGUUUUCUGAGAAAGAGAUGGUGAAUACAACUUGCAUUGACACAGGCAGCACCGAGCCUGAUGGAGUGAAGGAGCUGUGUUCAGACCACUUGGCUUGAUUUUCACCGUGGCACUGUCCAGGGGGCAGAUUCUUCAGCUUGGCCCGAUAGUUUUUGUGAUAUGAGAAAUGUUUAUGGCGUGCAGUGCCAUCAAAAAUUGUAUCUGUAAUUAACUACAUCAGAUGAAGGCCAGUGACUGCCGGCGAUCAGCUUCUCAAGUUCGUUUGUGGUUUGAACGUAUGGUCACCCCUUCAAAAGUGUACGCCACCAUUUGAGCAUUUUAUUCCUAUAACAUUGUCGGACUCACAGUGGACCAGAGAAAUAUUCUUCUUCCAUUUAUUUUAUUUCAUGCUUUAUUCUUUAAAACCAGCUGCCUACACUACCUGAAAGGCAACUUGAUGAGCCGCAGAGAUCUGAUAAACUUCUGUCUAACCAGCCCGGACCCACUUUGACUCCAGUGACAUCACUUGAGUCAAUCUAUCAGACUUCACACAGCUCCUUCUGAAGACACAAAAGACCUCACACAACUUGUGCUCUUGCAUACGCAGCAGUACUCCUCAACCCCUUAAACAGACUUUAUGUGUAAAAUUGAUUCUCCUUUAAAGUUCAAGAUAUUGUUUUUACCCGCUGGCUCUGUCAACCGUACUACAUGUAAGAUUGCCCAUAAUUAUUUUGUUUUUGUAGAUAACUAACCAUUAUGUUUCCACAGUAAAUGUGAGAGCCAGAGUGUUAUCAGCGUGUACUGAUAUUUAAAUGUGUACAUUUUGUUUCAAAUUAUAUGGGAAUCAACUUUGAUGGUAACUGUAUAUCUUAUUUUGAACAUUCAUUCCCCCAAAGUCAUGAAUAUUGUUUCAACAUCAGCCAUUUUGUUCAAUUGAAAUAAAUCAAUCCACUUGAAAGCUCAUGGAGUAAACCUGUAGAGUACUGCUGAAUUGUGAUGCGUGACAAAUGGAAAAGAAACCGCAAUUAACUGCCGGGAAGAUUCUUCUGCACUCAAAAAGGUCUGGUAAUGUUUAGUGAUCAUUUCUAAGCGUCUUUUCCUUUUUGACGCCCUCAAUGAAGAACAGAAAGAAAGCUUUCAGUUUGUCGACCUUGAAUUAUGAAAUAUUGUGCUGAGUCUUUGUGUUGUUGGGAGACAAUAGCAGGAUGGAGAAGGGGAGCAUGAACCACCCUCUGAAUAAUUUGGACUAUUGCCAAUAACUUGUACAUACAAUUUAUAUAUAUAUAUAUGUGUGUGUGUGUUUAUGUAUACAUACGUACUGUCAUAAAAGACCAAUCACCUCUGCAGCCAGACCAACAUUGUAUGCGUUCCUGCAAUAUUUAGGAGUCAAGAAAGCCUUUAAAUAGCCCUUAAUGCUUCGAUACCAAUGUCUACAAAAUAUAAGAUGCAUCACUACCAGAGGCGAUACUCUUACGCAACAUUUGAACUGUUUGUUACAAAAAAAGUGCCGUCAAGUUACAGAGGAUCUGAUGAAGACGCCUGGUGAACAGGUACAUCAGUAACUGGACCAGUGCUGGUUGAUCUCAUACUGAAAAGAGGAGGACAACUGUGGGCUCCAGCCGGCCUCGUCUGGUGCUCGUGGACUUGCUGUAGCGGUGGG